rnacentral:rRNA from 1 species
AUUGAACGCUGGCGGCAUGCCUUACACAUGCAAGUCGAACGGUAACAGGUCUUCGGAUGCUGACGAGUGGCGAACGGGUGAGUAAUACAUUGGAACGUGCCUAGUAGUGGGGGAUAACUACUCGAAAGAGUGGCUAAUACCGCAUGAGAUCUACGGAUGAAAGCAGGGGAUCGCAAGACCUUGUGCUACUAGAGCGGCCGAUGGCAGAUUAGGUAGUUGGUGGGAUAAAAGCUUACCAAGCCGACGAUCUGUAGCUGGUCUGAGAGGACGAUCAGCCACACUGGGACUGAGAAACGGCCCAGACUCCUACGGGAGGCAGCAGUGGGGAAUUUUGGACAAUGGGCGAAAGCCUGAUCCAGCAAUGCCGCGUGCAGGAUGAAGGCCUUCGGGUUGUAAACUGCUUUUGUACGGAACGGAAAGCCCCGGGUUAAUACCCUGGGGUCAUGACGGUACCGUAAGAAUAAGCACCGGCUAACUACGUGCCAGCAGCCGCCGUAA